rnacentral:piRNA from 1 species
UGAGUCUGCAUAUGUGUAUGCGUGUGGGU